rnacentral:guide_RNA from 1 species
UGAAAGAGCAUAAUGCUCUGAAACUCGU